UCUUUGAUUUGUAUCUAAUUAUAUAAUUAAUUAUUGAACAUACUUACUUACUUUUCAUAUAAAUUUUCAAAAAGAAAAGUUGAUGUACAUUUUUCUUAUAAUUAUAUCAGAAUAUAUGUAAACGUAAAAAACUUCACAAAAAUUUAUGAAAGUAUAGUUACUUAUCUUAGAUAAAGAACCUAACCAAAUGCAAUGAAUAAAAGUAGAUCCGUUUUUAGCUAAUUAAAAUUAGAAAUAUUUUAAUUCAGUUUACAGAAACUAUAUGUAAGUUAAUAUAUCUUGAAACUUAUAGCCGAACAAUUCUAAAUUCUUAUACUAAAAUCAAAAUUUAACUAAAACAAACAAAAUAUUGUUACUUGUAAUAAUUGUAUUUGUUAUUAUACAUAUAAAUUACAGAAACUCAAGAUAUAUUAAUAAAUGAAACUAUAAUUUUAACUAACUGUUAUGAUUAAACUACUUUGAAAAUUUAAAUAUGUGUGCAUGAGCUUUUAAACUUCAAAUUGAUCAAUAUUUUAUUUUUAAAAAAUCUGAAUACAAUAUUUAUCAAAUCAUAUAUUUAUCUAGAAUAAAAUUUAUGAAUCUAAGACAACAAACUAAACACAUUAAAAACUAAUAAAAAUUAAAAUAAUAAUGUUAUGAGUGAAUUCAGAAAAGUAUAUACAAUCUGAUAUAUAUAUACACUAUCCAGAUACUUUAUAUCGACAUGACCAAUUAAAAUAAAAUAAUAUUGUUUGAAGUAAAUCAUAUUUACACGCACAGUCAAAUAUUACAAAAGAAUUUAUAACUAAGUAAAAAUAUUAUUAAUGAAUUGUUGUAGUGUGCUUACUUUAUAAAUAUUUACACCCACUGUCAAAAUUACCUAGUAUGAUAUAUGAAGCUAAUAUUAUUUAUAAUUUUAAAUAUACGUGUCAUAAUGUUUAAAAUAAAACAAUGACUUAUUCUAAUAUUCAUAAUAAAUAUAAAGUUUCUGUUCAGUUGGCUAUCAUCUUCGCUACUUCAGUUGUGUUACAGAACCUUCGAACUUCGAAGCAAGGAGAAGAUACUUUUCUUAUAACACAAUUGGAAUUUUUGUAUCUCUGAGAAACAAACUACCUAAAUUAUUUUCCACCAAAUAGCCAAACGAAAUCAACCUUGAAUGUCAAUCUACUAAACUUCCCUGGGUAUGUGGUGCUUUGUUAUUUUUGUAUUCUUUUUGUAGUCGUCUCUUCACUGUUUAGACAAAAGUUUGUCUAAUUGAAACUUUAACACAUUUUAACUUUUGUGCUCAAUAUCGCUUCUACACACAUCUAAAAUACAUAGGUUCAUUUCCAGAAUAAAACAUUUCCUUAAUUGUACUCGAAUUGAAAAAAAAAAGUUGAAUGGAGUUUCAUGGACACCAACAGCAGAUACGGUUUGGUUCAAAAUUUUGUGUCUUGAAACCAAAUUUGGAUGUCGCAAAUGUGCCAUUGCAUUGCUUUGGUGAUGUCAUUGAGGAAGAGGUCCGGGUCUCUCUUGUAACUUUUGUUGUACUCUCAAACACCAUUUCUAGGUACCGCCAUGUUUUCAAUCUGUAAUUGCAAGGACCACUGUAUCUGGGCAUUAAAAUCAAACAACAACAUAUAUAAUAGGACUAAUACUCUUUUUGGUUAGAAAGCAGACAAAAGUUAGUUUUAGCAGCUAUGCAGGUGACAUCAUUACCUUGAUCUUCUCACGGAAACGUUCCUAAGCUUCCAUAUGUAGCAUUGAAUCUUAUGUGAUCUAAAUGCUCCUGGUAAAGAAAAAGGGACAAAAUUAAACAUAUGUCAUCUUCUUCACGGAAGGAAAUGAUAUGCAAGAUCAGAAAAUUCAAACCUGUUAGUCUGUGACAGCAGCCUACGCCCAAAAGAUAUUUCACUGAAUACUCCGCAACUUUCUUCAGUUCUUGCUACUGGGAACUACUCGCAGUGUCUAUUGCCGCAGAGGUCAACCGUAGCGUUCAAAUGAGCAGCCACUAUGAUGAAACGACCUCCAAGGAGGCAAAAAGUAAAGAUAGGUAAAAAGUCACAAAUAAGGUGGAGAAGUUUGCUGAGUCAUAAAUGACAGAAGUGGUGGCCAUGGAAACUUUAUUCAGAUCUUCUACGCUGGUGUUGCUCUUACGCCUCAUGUCCAUCUUCCAGUUAAUCUUCUUAUCUGAAUGAUAACCAAUAAAAUUUUAAAACAACAGCAAAUCAAUCAUCUUGAUAGGAAAAAAAAAGAUUUUUGAUCCACAAAGCACCCAGCUUUCUUAUGUAUAGAACCAAAAAGAGUACAGAGCUGAACAAUAUUACUAACCUUAUCUUCCAGAUUCUCUGUUCAAGAAAUAAUUUUAAAAAGUGAUUAUUUUGAAACGUGAA